AAGAUAGCUUUGACAUUAGAAAACAUGCAGAAACUAGUUGAAAAUAUCUUUUGUCUUGCAGUAUCAUGUAUAUGCAUACCAUAUUCAAUUUCAUUCACUUGAAACAGUUUUGAAAUAAUAUGCUAAGAAGGCACAGAUCUAGAAUCAAUCAUUUAAUUCAAAGUGGAAGGAUCUUUUGUUUGCAUUUUCAUGUAUUCGCAUACCAUACUCGGUCGCUUGAAGCAGCUAUGAAAAUAAUACGCUAAGAAGGCAAAAAUCAAGAAUCAAAAUCAUUCAACAGAAUUUGUU
rnacentral:misc_RNA from 1 species